rnacentral:sRNA from 1 species
UACCUUAAACGUGAUUGUUUCCGCUGC